CCUACGGGAGGCAGCAGUAGGGAAUCUUCCACAAUGGGCGAAAGCCUGAUGGAGCAACGCCGCGUGGGUGAAGAAGGUCUUCGGAUCGUAAAACCCUGUUGUUAGAGAAGAAAGUGCGUGAGAGUAACUGUUCACGUUUCGACGGUAUCUAACCAGAAAGCCACGGCUAACUACGUGCCAGCAGCCGCGGUAAUACGUAGGUGGCAAGCGUUAUCCGGAGUGAUUGGGCGUAAAGGGAACGCAGGCGGUCUUUUAAGUCAGAUGUGAAAGCCUUCGGCUUAACCGGAGUAGUGCAUUGGAUACUGGGAGACUUGAGUGCAGAAGAGGAGAGUGGAACUCCAGGUGUAGCGGUGAAAUGCGUAGAUAUAUGGAGGAACACCAGUGGCGAAAGCGGCUCUCUGGUCUGUAACUGACGCUGAGGUUCGAAAGCGUGGGUAGCAAACAGGAUUAGAUACCCGGGUAGUC
rnacentral:rRNA from 1 species